ACAGUGGUGGUUCAGUGGUGGAAUUCUCGCCUUCCAUGUGGGAGAUCCAGGUUUGCUUUCUGGCCAAUGCA
rnacentral:tRNA from 1 species